GCCACGCGCUCGCAUUCAGCCAGUCUCAUAGGAAAGCAUUGUCAAUUUCCACAGUGAGAAGCGCGGAAGUGCCUCUAGCGGCUGUCAAUGAGACAGCCACUAGAGGCUGGAUUAACCCAUACAUUUACAGCAAAAAGGGUUAAACCUAGAUGGACCUGGCACCCAGACCACUUCAUUAUACUCCCUCUAGCAUGUAAGCUCAUUGAGCAGGGCCCUCAACCCCCUCUGUUCCUGUACGUCAGUGGUCUGAUCUCAGUUAUGUGUCUGUUAGUCCACCCAUUGUACAGCGCUAC